UACGGGGGGGGCAAGCGUUGUUCGGAAUUACUGGGCGUAAAGGGCUCGUAGGCGGCCAACUAAGUCAGACGUGAAAUCCCUCGGCUUAACCGGGGAACUGCAUCUGAUACUGGAUGGCUUGAGUUCGGGAGAGGGAUGCGGAAUUCCAGGUGUAGCGGUGAAAUGCGUAGAUACUGGGAGGAACACCGGUGGCGAAGGCGGCUACCUGGACCGGUACUGACGCUGAGGCGCGAAAGCGUGGGUAGCAAACAGG
rnacentral:rRNA from 1 species